UUGAACGCUGGCGGCAGGCCUAACACAUGCAAGUCGAGCGGAUGAAGGGAGCUUGCUCCUGGAUUCAGCGGCGGACGGGUGAGUAAUGCCUAGGAAUCUGCCUGGUAGUGGGGGAUAACGUCCGGAAACGGGCGCUAAUACCGCAUACGUCCUGAGGGAGAAAGUGGGGGAUCUUCGGACCUCACGCUAUCAGAUGAGCCUAGGUCGGAUUAGCUAGUUGGUGGGGUAAAGGCCUACCAAGGCGACGAUCCGUAACUGGUCUGAGAGGAUGAUCAGUCACACUGGAACUGAGACACGGUCCAGACUCCUACGGGAGGCAGCAGUGGGGAAUAUUGGACAAUGGGCGAAAGCCUGAUCCAGCCAUGCCGCGUGUGUGAAGAAGGUCUUCGGAUUGUAAAGCACUUUAAGUUGGGAGGAGGGGCAGUAAGUUAAUACCUUGCUGUUUUGACGUUACCAACAGAAUAAGCACCGGCUAACUUCGUG
rnacentral:rRNA from 1 species